UUCUGGUUGAUCCUGCCGGACCUGACUGCUAUCGGAUUGAUACUAAGCCAUGCGAGUCUUUGCAGUAAUGCAAGGCAGACGGCUCAGUAACACGUAGUCAACUUACCCUAUGGACGAGGAUAAUCUCGGGAAACUGAGCAUAAUACUCGAUAGAUCAUAAUGCCUGGAAUGGUUUAUGGUUGAAAUGAUUCGUCGCCAUAGGAUGGGACUGCGGCCUAUCAGCUUGUUGGUGAGGUAAUGGCCCACCAAGGCGAUUACAGGUACGGGCUCUGAGAGGAGAAGCCCGGAGAUGGGUACUGAGACAAGGACCCAGGCCCUAUGGGGCGCAGCAGGCGAGAAAACUUUGCAAUGUGCGAAAGCACGACAAGGUUAAUCCGAGUGAUUUCUGCUAAAGAAAUCUUUUGCAAGUCAUAAAACCACUAGUGAAUAAGGGGUGGGCAAGUUCUGGUGUCAGCCGCCGCGGUAAAACCAGCACCUCAAGUGGUCAGGAGGAUUAUUGGGCCUAAAGCAUCCGUAGCCGGCUCUGUAAGUUUUCGGUUAAAUCCAUGUGCUCAACAUAUGGGCUGCCGAAAAUACUGCAUAGCUAGGGAGUGGGAGAGGUAGACGGUACUCAAUAGGAAGGGGUAAAAUCCUUUGAUCUAUUGAUGACCA
rnacentral:rRNA from 1 species